UGAUGACAAAUCUCCGGAAUCUCUGUACUUCUUUGAUGAAAUCUUUGAACCCUUUUUCUGAUGACUGCUCUUUAAAAUCAAU
ensembl:snoRNA small nucleolar RNA MBII-202